CACACGCCAAUCUGACAUGUCCGCACCACCGCUCGCAGGCCCUGGGCGACCAAGCCGGAUCAAGCCGUCCUCUACCUCCGUGCGUAGAUCUGGGUGAGCCUCCGCACCGCAGUGCACAAGAAAGGUCCAGGAAUAGCCGGACCUAGCCGGUCUGCACUGACGCGCGCAGGACAUGGGCGGGAUCCAAGCCAAACUGCGCUGCCCGCACCGCCGCGCGCAAGAACAACAGAGUUCGUGUUGGAACUAGUCCAUGGGAGCAUCAUAAAGCACCACCCAAACUGAUUGGUGUCGCCGCUCGAGGGAGCCGAACG
rnacentral:lncRNA from 1 species